UGCUGGAUCAUUACCCAUGUGAUCAUCAC
rnacentral:rRNA from 1 species